AUGAGGGUCUUUCUCUGUCUGUAUGUUUCUCUCUAUAUCUGUGUGUACGUGUGUCUAUGUAAGUGUGUGUGUAUAUCAGUAGGUGUUAUCCCUUGUCUCUGUCCUAUCUGUAUCAGGCAGCAGAGCCGUAUUGCGGUCCUGGUGACCAACCUCAGUGGCCCCAACCUUCAGCGGCUUGUGGAGGCUGCCUGCUGUCUCUACGAGCUGUCCCACUCCCUCCACACCCUACCUGAUCAUCUUCCUGUCUGGACAGAGGCCCAAAUUCAGUCAGUCCCACAGUUCUGUCAAUGGAGUGGACCUACCUGCCAUUGUCUCUCCCAGCUCGUCUCAGCGAACCACGCAGCAGGGAGAAUCAUCCCUGCACUUCCCUCCUGCUGACACUUGGUGGUGGUGUUGCUAAAGGGAGUAUAGAGGAGAGAAUGGAGCUGGUGAGUUGUCAAUGAAUCUAAAUGCUUUCAAAAUUAUUAUUUCAAUCCAAACAAUAAAAGCACAUGUGUUGUGACUGUGUGGCUGAUAGACAUAGACCAACUGCACCAGAAUGUAAGGAAUCCAUUUGAUGAAAUUAAUUUAUAUGUAGAUAACUUAGGCUACUGUCAUAAUCAACAUAUCUGCUCCUCCUCUCUCUCUCUUUCUCUCCCCCUCUCUCUCUCCAGUUGAUCUGGACCCUGCUGCCCUGGGUGGGGUGCUGUUAUCUGGGCCCCUAGGGGUCCUGCAGACCCAACUAAAAGAUAGCCGUCUCCUAGAUGCUCUGUGUGCGUUUGCUCAGGUCUUCCUCCAGACCCAGAGGGUCUGGGUCCUCAACAACCACACAGGUUAAACAAGGCUGUGUGUGUUUGUGUGUGUCUGUGUCAGUGGAGGCUGGUGACUCGAAACAUUUAGGAGCAUGGGUAUAGGCGCGUAACAGUAACAUACAGUAAUGAGAGAAAAUUGAUAGGGGUACUCAUAGUGCUUGGAGAGGAAACAUUCAAUGUUCCAGUGGCGUUGACAAUGGUAGUGGAGUGGAGAUCACUUCUUAAUCAGGGAACAGAGGGCAUCCCGAUUGGCGCAGUGGUCUAAGGCAUUGCAUCGCAGUGCUAGCUGUGCCACUAGCAAUUCUGGGUUCGAGUCCAGGCUCUGUCCCAGCCGGCCGCGGACGGGAGACCUCUGGGCCGGUGCACAAUUGGCCCUGCAUCGUCCGGGUUAGUGGAGGGUUUGCUUGGCAUCGUGCACUAGUGACUCCUGUGGCAGGCCGGGCACAGUGCACGCUGACAUGGUCGCCAGGUGUAUGGUGUUUCCUCUGACACAUUGGUGCGGCUUCCGGGUUAAGUGGGCGUUGUGUCAAGAAGCAGUGCGGCUUGGUUGGGAUGUGUUUGGAAGGACGUACGGCUCUCGACCUUUGCCUCUCCCGAGCCCGUACAGCGAUGAGACAAGACUGUAACUACCAAUUGGAUACCACAAAAUUGGUGAGAAAAAAGGGUAAGAAAUAUGUUUAAAAAAUCAGGAAACAGGAGGGGACUGUAAAAACAAAAAGCAGAUACAUUCCAUUACAGCUGCGCCAUUGUAGAUUUGAACAAGAGUUUUUCCUUUUCUGUUAACCUAACCAGGAAGUCUCUGGACCCUAUAAGGUAUGACAGUGAUUAAUCAGUUUUAAAAGGGUUUAUAAAGGCUAUGAUGGGACCAGUUUAUCCUAAUCAGGUCACAUGGUUAUAAAAAACUGGGUGGGGAAAACCCUGUCAAACUGCAGAAACUUAUUAGGUUGCUUAAUCGAAUACCCAAGCUGACCAGGUAAAAAUCGUUCAUUCUAUCCCUGAGCAAGGCAGUUAACCCACUGUUCCCUGGGUGCCGAAGACGUCAAUGUCAAUUAAGGCAGCCCCCUCCACCUCUCUAAUUCAGAGGGCUUGGGUUAAAUGCAGAAGACACAUUUCAGUUGAAUACAUUCAGUUUGACAACUGAUAUAAUUCAUAUGAACAGGUUACUGCAGUUUGACAGUUGCAACCAUAGACUAUUAUGUUGAUUGAUUAAUUCCAGUUAAUUCCAGAUAAUAAUUUUGGAUUGAAAACGUAUAGGCAUACCUGAGUACAGUGGAAAGCCUGCUUGAGCAUUCUGCGUCAACCUCGCUCUUUAAUCUAACUUUUUAUGGAUGAUGCGAUGGAAGCUAUUGAAUUGAUUUCGACAUCUCAGAAAAAGACAGUAGACUGUAGAAAGUUCCAUAUGUUCAGCAAGUAAAUCAUCGCAAUGUGCAGUUAUCGCUGCAAGCUCCUUUUAGUUGCACUUGUUAGAGGAACAUUCCCUCUUGUUGUGUCCUCUAAAAGCCUAUUCUUGCAGGCCCAAAAACACACUGGUAUUGAUAAGCCGCUUGAGAACAUCCCUGUUUCUUCUUACUUUCUCAUAUGUUGCGCAGCUUGAAUACAUAGACCUUCUUCAUGAUCAAUGUAGCUUUUUCCCAGAAGCUUGAAUCUGAUGUGGACAUUUAUAUGCUCCCUGCUUUUGUUUUGACGUUUAGCUGAACGAUUGAUGUUCUUCAGGUCACUGUACCCCUCUUUCACCCAAGGCUGACUUUCCAAAAAGCAGGCAAGGCCUGCAAUACAGGCGGCUUGAUGAAAGGCUCCCUGUUAACCAGCUAUACUUUUGAUAUCAAUUCGUAUUGAACGCCCUCACCUUUUCAUAUUUCUUCAUGAAACUGAUCUCAGGCAGAGGUCAAACCUCGGUUUUAAUUCACACCUUUUCCGUGUACCCCAGAGAAUGAAAGGGGUUCUUCAACAAAAAGUCAACAUUUUCCAGCACACUGGAGCUGGUAGCUAGCAAAAAGAAAGUUCUAAAACCAAGAAAACAAUGUAUAAUCUACGUCCACCAUCUCCUGUGAUUUGAAGAAACUAAUUUGAAUUGAAUAAUAUCCAAAAAUUGCUCAACUAUCACUUUUCAAUCUCUAUCCAAUAAUGUCACCAACUCACCAAGCUUCUCCACACAUAGACCCGCCCCGCCCUAUAAUGCUCUUUGGCACAACCCCAAUACAACACACUAGGUUCAUUCUCUGAUCCUAAUCCUAUGAUUGGAUGGACAACAUAUCAGUUCAUACUGCAAAAGCUUUGAUUGGUUGGAGGUCGUCCUCCGGAAGUGGUCAUAAUUACCAUGUAGGUCUAUGGAAGGGGGUGAGGCCUACGAGCCUACUAGGUUUUGUAUUGAAGUCAAUGUACCCAGAGGAGGACAGAAGCUAGCUAGCUAAACCAUGUGCUACCCCAGCGAGUGCUUUUGAAGUUACUAUAGACCUUCAUUGCAAAACAGUGUUUUCUAAUCUGUUUCUGGUGACAUGUGAAUAUAUUUAGUGUAGUUUUAUCUAAACAGGAAAACAUUUUUAGUUUCUAUUUUUAUUUCUAUGAAAUGUCACUGAGAAGGAUGGUCGGUCCUCUCCUUCCUCCUCUAAGGAGCCUCCACUGGUGUAUGUGUUGUGUGUGAGAGAGUGAAUUGAUUUAUACAUCCGUGUGUGUUAUCAAGCCGUAUAGAUUACUGCUUGUCAUAUAAAGUGAUAGUAUUUUUAGCAGCAGUGAUACAUCACUCCCUUCACACUGGAGCUCUGCCAUGUAGAAUGCUUGUGUGAUAUCCAUCAUAUUACAAAUGUCAACUCCUUUAAACAAGAUUUGAGCAUCUAAUUUGACAGGACACAUACAUAAUUUGACCAAGUCAGGAAAAGUUACAGCAUUACAGAUUUUUUCCUGGUCAAAUUACAUUCUCUUAUUGACACAUUAUGUGGUGUAUUUAACCUCUAUGUGUCCAGCACUAUGCUUCACCAUCCACUGAGCCAUACACUAUGGACGUUCACACUUUGACUCAGUUUGGUCAGGGAAAGGAUUUUAUAAUGAGAUUGAAUUAUAAUCUUUCUCUCCAACCCACCAGGUGCUAAGGGUUAUGGGUAACAUUUCCCAUCAGGGAAGAGAUUACUGCCCCCCCCAUUAAAACAUUAAAACAUUAAAACAUUCUUCUUCUUCUUCUUCUGUUGGGGGAGGAGUUUGUGAGGCAGAGUGGGCUCCCCCUGCUGGAAGCCACCCAGUAUAACAGCCAGGAUAAUUUACACCUCAGAGCAACACACCUGCUGGUACAUCCCCUGCCCCCACGGUGGGGACUCUUGCCCUAACACAGGCUGUGUUCGUGUGUAUGUCCAGACUUUUAAGAGUGCUUUGUUCUGUUGUUAAAGCUGGAAACCUCUUCAUCCCCAUGAGGAACCUGCAGAACAGGAGUGCCACAAAAAAAAGACUUCCAAAUGUUUUAACAAGGUUUAGUCAGAAGACCUACCUACCAUGUACAUUUAAAAUGUUUUUA
rnacentral:lncRNA from 1 species